rnacentral:lncRNA from 1 species
UCCCAGCCUCUCCCAGUCCCUCCCAGUGCCUCCCAGCCUCUCCCAAUGCCUCCCAGCAUCUCCCAGUGCCUCCCAGCCUCUCCCAGUGCCUCUCCCAGUCCCUCCCAGUGCCUCCCAGCCUCUUCCAGAUAUGUACCUUAGUUAGUAUAUAAUGAGAGAGAGAGAGAGAGAGAGGGGCAUUUAUAUAAUUCUGGCUAAUAAUGUAUGUAAGAAAAAUACUUAUAGAAAUGUUUGUGUUUGUGUUGCCUGAGUGAUUUAUUAUUAUUAUUAUUAUUAUUAUUAUUAUUAUUAUUAUUAUUAUUAUUAAGGUUGUUUUUCUUAUUUUUUUACAAUUUUGGGGUUCGAGUUAAGGUAAAUUGUAGAAAUCUCUUUUAUGUGUGUGUGUGUGUGUGUGUGUGUGUGUGUGUGUGUGUGUGUGUGUGUGUGUGUGUGUGUGUGUGUGUGUGUGUGUGUGUGUGUGUGUGUGUGUGUGUGUCAGUAUACACUGCCUACUAUUAUAGAAAUUAAAAUAUCAUUAUUUAUGCGCGUGUUUCAUUUUUCCCUCUCACACACACACACACACACACACACACACACACACACACACACACACACACACACACACACACAUAAAUAAUAAAAAACAAAUCGAAAAAUAAAUUAAGUCACCCAUAAAAUACUCUACGUUUUCUUUGGUGCAUUUUUACUUAGUCGCCGCUAGAUGGCAGUGGUAGCGGCGCCUCGGAGCUUUGGUGGAGGGGAGCUCAUUUCCUUUGAAGCUUCACUGGAGGAGGCGAACACACAGGUAAGGAAAAACACACGUCCUUAUUUGCACCUGAGACACAGACGGUGGUGGACGUGGGGCGCUGGUGACAGAGGAGGGACCUGCAGACGACUCAGCCUCAGUCAGUCAGUUCUCCCAGGCCGGUGUCAGUAGCAUCCCGAAGCAGCGCAUGUGUGGCGGCUUGAGUGGCUGCAGUGACGGAGAGGAUGAGUUUGUGCAGCUGUGGCAUUGACGAGUGGCGGGAGAAGAAUGUCGGGUGUGUGUGAGCCUCUGCAUCAACACUCGAGUCAUACUAGUGCCAGUGCCGGCCACGAUACACACUCGUCACGAAGUUCAACUGUGAAGGAAACCAUUGCCCCGAGUGAGGAAGCCCAACCUACACUCGGACCGUGGACAGGAUUCGAACCCGUGCGCUUGGAGACCUCGGACCGCAAAACACGCAUGGUUCCACUGCACCACGGCGACCUAAAGAUAUUAUGGGAUUCUACGGUAGUUUUGUUGUUGUUGGCAUACAUUAAUAUACAUUUUGUCUCAACGAGUAUGAUUUUUCCCCAGCAUAUGACAAAGGUGCAGUGUUUUAGUGUUGGCUGUCGUUAACCCCUUCAGUAGUGGGACGCAUUUUUUGUACCAAGAGUUUUGUGUAUGAUUAGACAGUUCCAUUGACAUUAGAAAGGGUCUAUGGAGGUCAGAAGAUUAAUGGCCAGACUCUUCACUAUUUUAAUCCCCAUAUAGGUUUCUGAAGCUGUUUAAAAUCCCCUUAAAAUGUAAACAAAAUAAAUAUGAACACGUUAUGGUACUGAAGAGGUUAAAACUCCCGCUAAGAUGGAAAUUUGUGUCUUGAAGUUUGUCUCCUUUUGUGAAUAAAAAUCUGUUUAUGGAAGGAGUGUUUAAUGCUCACU